rnacentral:lncRNA from 7 species
UCCUAGAGGCCUGCAACAAGUUCGGCGCUAACCGUGACCCUUAGGCUGUUUCGUUCAAGGUCGCGGCUUCCGUAUUCGAUGGCCCCAGCUUCGGUGCCCGGGCUCCGGUGCCCGUGAUGCUCCUAGGUCGAUUUGACGAGGUUCAUGGGUUAUACGCGCCUCACACAAGCAUGCGCUGAAUUUCUCGCUUUGGGUGUGUAUGGUUUUCCCAGGCUGAGCUAGAGAAGGUGGAUAAAACUAAUUUUUUUGGAAGAUACUUGAAUGAAUAAAUAAGGCGCCAGUUCAGAUUAAAAAUUCCCUGAAUACAGAUACUAGGCUAGCCGGGCCAAAAGAUGCUCCUGAUCUUGCUAGACUCAUACAAGUAAUGUCUGCUUCUUGUUGCUAUUAUUCUAGGUUUUUUCACCAUUCCUCCUAUUCUUUAAAUUUAUAAAUUUAUAGUUUGUAAAAUGUGCAAAGGUCCUUUAAACUAUGUAAUUACAUCUUGUGAUGAGAUGGUGAAUCUGAAGCUAUGCCUUUAACCUUGAACGAAUGGGCGCACAAGAGGGUAAUCGUAUAUUGAGGUUUAAAUGCAAGUAUAUAAUAAUAAUGCAUUUCCCAAAUCAUUAAUUCUGCAAGUGAUGAGUUUUUUCUUUCUAUUCCCAAUUUUCUCUGUGAUGUGCAGUUUGGACAUUUGAAUGCACAUCAGUAACUGUGGUUGCAUUAAUGGUCCAAUGGAGAGCAAUG